AUGGGUGGUUCCUUUUCCUUUUGGCGCCCAGAAGGGGAGAAGGAUGUGGCGAUCGGUGUGGGGUUGGGCGUUUUAUUCCCCUCUCUUGAACCCCCUAGAAUGUACUGUACAUGUUUGGCGUCGUGGGCAUCCCGGCCACCGAAAUCGCCCUUGGCACCCAGGAGCUGCGCAUCAGGUACCUCAGGACGAGGAACGAGCAACGAGCAAGCGAGACAGCCAGUUAUGGAUUGCAACCUCUACAAAUUGUUCGUGUUAAGAAGCAGGACUCCAGGUGGCGCCAUCUUUGCUCAAACAGGAAGCCAAGGCCCUGGCGCCCAGAACAGUGUGGAGUGUAGAGGCCCAAGUCCCAGCCCCUGCCUCUCAGGGGAACCCCCCAGCCUGCGGCCCAACUGGCUGGGGUCAGAAUCCAGUGACCAAGAAAAUACCAAAGGAGUUCACAUAAAAACACACAGUCCUUGCUGUAGACAGCUAGUGAUUUGGGAAGUAAGGAUGAACACAAGGGCAAAGAUGCCAUCCAAAACCAGGAAAAAUUUAACUGAUGAGAAGCAACUACCAAUUCUGAGGACAAUUCCAAAACUCAAAAGAGGAUGUAUAUCCUUUAACUUUUCCGGUGUAAUCAGUGCUACAAUUCCGGAGUGAAAUGAUGAACUUGUGGCCCUGUAUGACGAUGGAAGAAGGCCUUUGUUCUCAGGAGCUGUCUGCUGAGUAUAACGGUAGACAGUGGUCUCUGCUAUUCUUUUCUUUUUUUUUUUUUUGGUACCAGGGAUUGAACUCGGGACCUUGUGCUUGUGAGGCAAGCACCAGAACCACUGAGCCAAAUCCCCAGCCCUCUGCUGCUCAUUUUUUUAAGUUUUACAAGAGAAAAAACCCCCUGUGCAUGUGUGUUUUGGGAGGGGAGAAAUAAACCAAAUCUGGUGAAUGUUAAGCAGUGGGGAUUCUAGGGGACAGUUGUAUGGUAUUGUUCCUUCAGCUCUUCUAUAGACUUGCAAUUUUUAAAAAUAAAGAGGACAGGGAACCUUAAAUAAAUAAGUGAAAAAGUAUAUACACAUACACAUGAAUACUUGUAUACUCAGAAUAUCUCUGGAUGGAUGUGCAAGAAACUGGUAACAAAGGUUACAUCUAAGGUGGAGAACUGGAGGGCUCUGUGUUAGAGAUAGACGAGAUUUGUUUUUCACUUUUGAAAUGUUUUGAACUAUUUAUCAUGCAGCUGUGUAAUUUACUUUUUUAAAUGAUACAAAUACAAUACAAUACAAUACAAAUCAAGAGAAGCAUCUUUGUCCUUCUAGAACCAGUUUCUUGAAGGUAUGGACAAUCAUAUUUGUUAUUUCCCAGUACAUAUGAUUCUAUUGCCUGGCAAAGGACACAUAUAAGUUACAAGUGGAUUCAUAUAAAGCAAAGUUAUAGGGCCUGAGGCUGCAUCUUGCCUAGCAUGUGUAAGCCCCUGGGUUCCAUCCCUACCCUGCGAAAAAUACAAUGAAGUUAUAAAAUGGGCUCAAUCCUGUUUAAUUUGUUUUAAGGAAAACCAUUCCCGAUGGUGUUGUCAGAAGCCUAACAUUUUGCUCUUUUGAUAAUUCAAAACUCCCCUGAGGAGUCACCUAUUAGAUGCUGAGCACAAUGUAUGCUGCUAAAUUUUAAGGCCUUACCAUCAAGGGGCAAACAAAUGAAUCACUGAGUGAAAGAAAUGUGUACAGAUCUGAAAGUCGUGGACCUCCCAUGAGCUGAAGAACAUGGGAACUGUCACUUUAAGAAGACUCUUCCACAUCAUAGAAAAUCUUUAAGAAGUGCUGAGGGUCAGAGUGAAUUCUGAUUCCUGAGCUGCAGGAAGUUAAUUACAUGAUGUUCCCUUGGACCAAAAAUUAGAACAUCGUAUGCCCAAAGCCAUCCAUACCACAGGCUCUGACAUUGGAGAUGGCAGCCCUGAAAUGAGGGUAUGAACAUGAAAGGUAAGCUCCCUGCUUUGUCAGUGCCUGCUGUGGAUGUCACACUUAGGUAGGAGGAAAGUUCCACUGGGCUCCAUCUUCCAAUAAACAGCAGAAUAAAAUCUGUUGUAGACCAGAUUGAUUUAGCAAGUUGGACUUAUUACAGAGAACCCGCACACUCCCUGACAAGGUCAAAUAAAGCUAAGCCCUCACUGAAAAACCUGAAAUGCUUUCCCAACACAAUGUUUUCUA
rnacentral:lncRNA from 1 species